rnacentral:rRNA from 1 species
UAGGAGAAGGGAUCUGGAACGCCCCUUCUCCCAAACGCUUACGGAACCGUGCAUCCGUGGGCGCCGCGGGAUGGGACUGCGACCGAUCAGGUAGAUGGUGGGGUAACGGCCCACCAUGCCGAUAACCGGUACGGGCCCUGAGAGGGGGAGCCCGGAGAUGGACCCUGAGACAAUGGUCCAGGCCCUACGGGGCGCAGCAGGCGCGAAACCUCCGCUAUGUGCGAAAGCAUGACGGGGUUACUCCGAGUGCCGGGUGCUGAAUUCGGCUUUUUCCCGGUCCAAAAGGCCGGGGGAAUAAGGGGAGGGCAAGAUUGGUGUCAGCCGCCGCGGUAAAACCAACUCCCCGAGUGGUCGGGAUGAUUAUUGGGCUUAAAGCGUCCGUAGCCGGUUCGGUAAGUUCUCCGUUAAAUCUGACGUCCGAAGCGUCAGGCCGCGGGGAAUACUGCCGGGCUUGGGAGUGGGAGAGGCCGACGGUACUCCCUGGGGAGGGGUAAAAUCCUUAGAGCCAGGGAAGACCAUCAGUGGCGAAGGCGGUCGGCUAGAACACGUCCGACGGUGAGGGACGAAAGCUGGGGGAGCGAUCCGGAUUAUAUACCCGGGUAGUCCCAGCCGUAAACGAUGCAGGCUAGGUGUGCGGUCGGCUACGAGCCGGCCGUGUGCCGUAGGGAAACCCGUUAAGCCUGCCGCCUGGGAAGUACGGUCGCAAGGCUGAAA